rnacentral:rRNA from 1 species
AUGGAGGACUAUUUUGAGCGCAUACUAAACCUUGCUUGGCAGUUUCGACAACACUUGACACAAUUCAUAGAAAAUGUGUUUGGGUGCAUUGAUUGGAUUCCUCAACGUCACGAAGUCCAAUUCUCUGCUUACUAUGGAGGAUCAUUGCCUGACACUGAAAGAUAUAUUCAUGGACAGAGUUCUGCGUUGUCCAUUAGCAAUACUACAGAAGAGUUAUCCAUUAGUAGUACUACAGAAGAACAGGCUGCACAUAGGAUAUCUGAGAUCACAAUUUUCAGAAACGGCGUAUCCGAAAUUUGUCAAAGAUCAUAUGCUAGCUGGUCAUCCUAUAUUUUGCGUGGCUACAGAUUGGGACAAAGAUUGGCACUCCAUUUGCGAGGGCUGUGCAGUCUCUUUGUAAAUGAGAUUAAUACCAAACUAACCAGGUCCUUGCAUCGUUUCUGGACAACAUUACAAGGCUCUUCUGAAGAUAUAGGGUGGUUGCAAAGAACUCAAAUGUCACUUUAUUCAGUUGAUGGCACAUCUCGCUUUCAGGAGCUUUUGCAUGAUGUGAGAAAUGGCAUGCAUUACCUGCCUGAUACACUGGUUUACUUGCUCAUCCCUGGCCUUUUUAGCAACCACAGUCCACUUUACUUUCUCAACACUAAAAGAUUCUUUUCAAAGAUGGGGCUUACUUGCCAUAUUGCAAAGAUUCAUAGUGAGGCAUCAGUGGAGAAAAAUGCACGGGAACUGAAACUAUACAUCGAGGAGCUCUACUGGGGAUCUGGCAAACAGGUUUUGCUCCUGGGACAUAGCAAGGGCGGAGUCGAUGCGGCUGCCGCACUCUCGUUGUACUGGUCCGAGCUCAAGGGCAAGGUCGCUGGUCUGGCACUGGUUCAGAGCCCGUAUGGCGGCACCCCCGUGGCUUCCGACAUCCUUCGAGAAGGCCAGAUCGCUGACAGGGAGACCAGGAGGAUCAUGGAACUGAUAGUGUGCAAACUUAUCAAGGGCGACAUGAGAGCUCUGGAGGAUCUCACGUAUGACAAGAGAAAGGACUUCAUUUCCAAGCACAGGCUCCCGGUGGACGAGCUGCCGAUCGUCUCCUUCCACACAGAGGCCAGCACCGCCCCGACGGUGCUCGCGACGCUGACCCGCAUCGCCCAGGCCGAGCUCCUCCCGCUGCUCACGGUGGCACCCCUGCCACGCUUCCUGUCCGAGUAUGCAGAGUCAUUGCUCGCUUCUCUGAAGCUGCCCGUGGUGAUGCCGGUGUCGGCUGCAAUGGCGGCCACCGCGCUCCACCUGCGGCUGCGGUACGGGGAAAGCAGUGAUGGCCUGGUGACACGGCGCGACGCCGAGGUCCCAGGGUCCGUGGUGGUGCGGCCCGAGCGGAGGCUGGACCAUGCGUGGCUGGUGUUCUCGACGCUGAGCCGGCGGCGCGCCGAGGCCGAUGCCACCCAGGUGUGCGAGGCCCUGCUGGCCAUGCUCGUCGAGAUCGGCGGCAAGAGACGCCGCUGCCUCAUCGAGGAGAUCGUUACUUGA